GCCCCGCCCACUCCAGUCCUCACCCUCCUGGCUGGGAGCCCCGCCCACUCCAGGCCUCACCCUCCAGGCUGGAAGACCCGCCCCUCCCGGGCCUCCGGAUCCUGGCUGGGAGCCAUCUCUGCCUCCUGCCGCUUCCUGCACUCCUGAUCAGAUCUUUAAGAAAUCUGCAAACUGCUUUCCACAGGGGCUGCAUUAAUUUGCAUUCUCACCAAAGUGUAGCAGAAGGUCAACUGCCUCAGGUGUGUGCAGUCACUUACUGGCCCUGGAAAUGUACAUCCAGAACAGAAUAUUAUCUUCCUGGCAGCCGUCCCAUUCAGCCUGUGCAUGGAGCUGUCCCAAGACCUGAGCCUUCUUAGUUUGGUGAUGCUUCACUAUGGCUUCAACUCUCCAACUUCUGCCCUCCAAGACCAUAGUGAUAAGAAAACAAAGAUCAACUACCCCCGAGCUGGGAGGAGGACUCCUUUUUUCUCUGUACAGCCUUUUAUAUGUUUAACUUGCUUACCAUGUAAUAUGGAUAACCUAUGAAAAAGAUUUCACGUGUAUACCUUUUUAAAUCACUUACUCUACUUGUUUGUGAAGACAAAAAUAAAUUUAAAAAAUGCCACAGACUUCUUGCAAGUUAAAGAAAAAAAUUCAGCUUCCUGUGUAAUAAGAAAUAUUGUAAGUCACACUCGUAGUCCGAGCUAUUUGGGAAAUUGUGGUGGGAGGAACACUUGAGCCCAGGAGUUCGAGACUGCAGUGAGCUAUAAUGGUGCCCACUGCACUCCCAUCUGGGCAACAGAGCAAGGAAUCAUCUCUAAAAAAUAAUAAAAAUAAAAAUAAUUUUAAAGAUUAAAAAAUAUAUUUAAAAGAAAUAUCACAAGUGAACUAUAAUUCAUCCCAAAAGAGAAUAUGGAUCUUUUCAAAGAGCAACAUCAAAAUGUCCAAGGCUAGUCAUCAUUUCUUUCUUGAGAACAUUCAUAAGCCACUGCUCACCCCUGGACUCCAUUUUAAAAACAGAUGCCACAGAGUUCUUCACUGCUUAGCCCAUUCUCACAUCACCAGUCCCCAAGCACGGACCUCACCCCUGGCCAGCCUUCCGGCAUGCCAGGCCUCCUCCUCCCUCAAGCCCAUGCGGAAGCAGGGAAGUGGGUCACACAGGGAGCCCAUGCUAUGGGUGGACGUACCCUGCCGACGAAAGUGGAAGGGCAGAGGUGGAGUGGUUUCUUCUUCCUUAUUCCUUUAUAUUCUGUUAAGCUUUAGCAACUCUCUCAACUGACUCAUGCAUGGACUUGUUCUAGAAGAAACUGUUAGAGGCAGCAGAGGUCUGAAGGUGCUUUAGUUCCACCCCUAGAUGAGAGUGACAGUCCCAGACACCCAGCAAGUUGGCAUUAGAACCAGAGCUAGAACCCAGAGCUUGUCCCCAGCCAAGUUCUCUUUCAUCUGCAAUAUCUGAUUUCCCAGAAUCAUCCUUCAUGGUGUGUUCUGGACCAAUUUUUUGUCCAAAAACUAGACAAAAAGAUAACUGUUUCAUUUCUAUUUCUACACUACAGCUCAUACAAUUUAAAGGAAGGACACUGCUGUAAGAACCAUCCUCCAUCACCAAAGAAAACUGGUUGAGUUCUUUUUAUUUAUUAAAUAAGACUGGAAAGGGUCAUUGUCUUGAUCAGCGUUUCUAUGCCUUGACACUGCUGACAUUUUUGGUGGGAUCAUUCUUUGAUGUGGGGACCAUCCUAUGCACUGCAAGAUGUGUAGCAGCAUCGCUGGCCUCCACCCACGAGGCACUGGUAGCAUCUCCUCCCCUCCACUUGUGACAAUCAAAAAUGUCUUCUUUGGACAUUGCCAAUUGUCCCCUGAGGGGCAAGAUGCCCCGGUUAAGAGUCACUGAUCUACGGGAAACUCGAUUAUUUGGUUGUCAUUGAAAAUACUCAGCAAGCAAAAAAUUGUUCACAUUAGGGCUUUAUAGACAAAUAAAUUGGAAAACUGAAUCCAGGGCAUUCCUCAACAGCCAGUGCCCAGAAUAGCCUGAAAGGGGUCCUGGGGAGAUAGGUGGGGGCUUCCGUAAACCCGAGGCAUGGCAGUCCAUGUGUAUUAUUGACCUUUCCAGGUGAAGGCAAAAGGAUAUUUGAGUCAGGGUUGAAAGCAUACUGAUAAAAGCAGAACAUGGUCGGGCAUGGUGGCUUAUGCCUGUAAUCCCAAGCACUUUGGGAGGCUGAGGCGGGUAGAUCACCUGAGGUCAGGAGUUUGAGACCAGCCCAGCCAACAAGGUGAAACCCCAUCUCUACUAAAAAUAAAAAAAAAAAAAAAAAAAAAAAACAACCUAGCCUGCUGUGGUGGUAUGUGCCUGUAAUCCCAGCUACUCAGGAGGCUGAGGCAGGAAAGUUGCUUGAACCUGGGAGGUGGAGGUUGCAGUGAGCCAAGAUCAUGCCACUGCACUCCAGCCUGGGCAACAGAGCAAGACUCCAUCUCAAAAAAAAAAAAAAAUUUUUUUAGCAGAACAUAAGUUGAUGACUGUGAGAUGAAUAGUGUUGGGUGGAGAGAAGCCAGAAUGGUGUUGGGGUCCUUAGAGAAAGCCUGGUAUUGUCUAUUUGAAUAAUUGCUUGUGAGCUUUGGACUAGUUGGUAUCCCAUUGAGCCUCUUUACUGAGAGGAUGGGAGUAUCACAGGAACCAGACAUGGAGACUAGAAGAGCUUUGUGAAGGACACCUUGAAUUAUAAGUUGAAGAUCUUGGAGAAUUCUUGUCUUGAGGAUAUUAUACUUGAGAGUAGCAUGGAAGGUUCUAUUUCUACGUUGAGAGGUUUGGCCUUCUUGAUUUGGCCUGCGUCAGUUGAGUGACCAGCUCAAAGGCAGUCGGGUAUUUUAGUUAGCAUAGUUUGUGCUUGAGGUUUUAAAGGGGGAUCAGGGAUUUUGACAGAAACAAGAAAAGUGUGAUGGUCAAUAAGAGCCAUGAAAGGGCAAAGAUGCAAGGCUGGGAACCCAAGGACCUCAAGUGUGAGGCCCUCGGGGAGCAAAACUACUGACAGUCCAGUUGGAAAGUAACUCUUUCCAGAAGGUUUACUGGGUAGUGGAACUAAGAAGCUGUGCUGGGUGGGGAGGGUCCUAGUAAGACAGAAGGUUCUGUUAAAGGCAGCACAUGGAUGCUUAUCAAGUCCCACCAACAGGCAUGGCUUGUGUGCUCUUAGGGAGUGUGGCAAGAGGUGUUCAUGGUGAGAUGUGUUGCUCGGGGUCCAUUAGGAAGGGAGGGGAGUGUCCAUUGAUGGGGAAGAUUCUCUCCUGAGUUAGUGUGGACACAAAGGGGAACAUACCCCUCCAAGAAAGUCGUUAAAAGAUGGAUUUUUAAACCCUUGCUCUCUUUUGUUUUAAAGCCAGCCAAUCCCAAGCCAGCAUUCUUUUUAUUUGUAUCUGCAUGUGUGCCUAGCAAGUGGGGGUUUGGAGUAAGCAGAUUGGCCUGGUUUGCUUCCUUCUGGUAAGUUGUGCAGCCGUCAGUUUGCACUGUGUUGAUUUGGCCUUUUCUCUCAUGGAUUCUUCAGGGUGUUGGGCUAGUGUAACACUUUCAGAGAGAGAAGCGUUCUGCCUACUUACAUUGGCUUUGGGGUAAUAUCUUUGAUUUCUGAUCAGAAGCCAUUAACAUAAUUAAUAAAAGCAAAAGUGGCUCAGUCAUCAAAUAUAAGAUCAGAUCAUAUACUUUGUAGAGCUUUAGCAACUCUCGCAACUGACUCUCUGAAAAUGUCCUUCCUAACAUUUUCUAAUCUAUGUCUAUAUUGAGAGGCACAUUCAUCUCUGUGUUGUCUGCCGUCUUUUAUCUUUGACCAAUCAGUUUUCCAGGAGCCACAGUGGGAAUGGAUUCUAAAGUCUCUCCCCUAUAGUUCUGGCCUGUAUCAGGGUGUUCUGAUUUCCUUGGAAGUCCUCAUGAAGAGUAGCCCGUGUGGCUUUUCAAACCAUAAGGUGGCAUCUCUGGUACCCAUUAACAGCUGCAAAAAUUGAUAAAGUUCAGGGAACCCAGGAGAAUACGCCCCAAGGACAAAACCAAAUGGAUUAGUAAACUCUUCCCUGGUCUGUCUGAAAAGCCCUUCACAACUGCAUAUGGACCUGAGUGAGUCCUUAUUCAAUUCGGCCCUCGGGUCAUGGGCCUUCUAUCAUGAUGGGGAAGCACCAAUACAUCAGGAUGAGGUAGGGAAGUAGGAGCAGGGAAGAUUGGGGAGCAGGGGCUAAAGGAGGAAAAAAGUCCCUCAGACUAAGGAGGAAUACUGGGUAGGGGGGAAAGCAUCAGAGCAGGGCCCAUAGAGGGGUGGGGCAGGGGGAGAAAGGGUUGAGAGGUUUUGUUAAGGGUGGAGGAGUGGGAGGAGAGAUUGGUAGUGAGAGACGUGCUUAAGGGACUGCUCAGUUUGAAGUAGAUUGGAGACAUUUUCUCAUGUUUCAGCCUCCUUGGACCAAGCAAAAUAAGCUGACCUUUGAAGAGAACAGAUCUUGAGGGGGAUCUGUAGAUGGACACAGGGAGAUUCCAGGUGCCUCAGAGGGAUCAACUUGCAGUUCCAAGUUGUCCUCAGGGAAAUCUUGCCAUUUUUUGGGAUAAUGAACUGAAUUCUCAUCACAGUGGAAUACGUAUCAUCGGAAGGGAUUUUUAAAGGGCAGGGUGAGAAGUGGAUUGAGAAUUUCGCAUAGCACCAAGGUUAAACAGAAGCCAACUACGAAACAAAGCCAGAAGGGCACUCAAGCAAAUAAUCAAAAUCAAAUCCUUACCACGCUGCCAGGGACCGAUAUAUCCAGAGCAUGGGACCAGGAGCUGGACUCACGGUGGGAUCUCUGAUCAGUCACAGAAGGAGCUUGACGAGCUCAUGGGGUCUCUCUCCCUAGGUGGAGAAGACAGGGCUCCAAAUGGACUUCCAGUCCCAUCCACGUCACAGAGGCAAAUUGUCAGAGACAAAGACCUAAGCCGCUUUUGAUAAUGUGGCUACUUAAAACAACUGAAAUAACACAUGUGGUCCCAUUGUGGCCACAUUAGAUUUCUACUGGCCAGCGUGGGACUAGACUCAGGCUAAGGUCCUCCCAACUCAGCUCCAGGUUUAUGAGCCGUAACUCAGCAGAAGCCUAGCAUGAGAACAACUCAUCUGAAGCUCCAACAUUUGGGGAAUGCAACCUUUCGACAGACAUUUGCUGAAUGGAUAGGAGACUCCUGAAAGCAGAAUUCUGCACAUUCUGUGGACCAGCCCUGACUACGGAGAGCAGGUGUUAGCCAGUAUCCAUGCGCAGUGCCUCUUAGUCUUACCUGUCUGCUGCCUUACGCAAGCAUGGAGCUUAAUAUGCUAGCUGUGUUCUCCUAACCUCAGAUAUCUGUAAAACCAGCCACAGUAAGAUAACAUGGUAGAGCACAAAAUGCUUAGAAGAGAUUUAUUUGAAGCAAUGCUUCCCAGAAGUUUUUCAAUGCAGCUUAUGGCGAGAAACACAUUUUACAUCUCUACUCAGUACGCAGCCACUCAUACUCAACUGAAACAUCUUCUGAAACAAUAUUUCACUUCACUCUCUGCAAUACAGAAAAUACCAGAUCGUAUUGUAUGUUAUUUCAUUGUUUUAAAAUCCUGAGCCUAGCUUGCUAAUAGAUUACAACUCAGUUUGAAAAGCACAGGCUAAGGGGCUUCAAAUAGGGGUGACACAUUGAACACACACAUUUAUCACCUCUCCCUUCACAGAUCUCAUUAAAAUGAUAAUAAAGGAACAAAAUGGCAGAAAUCCACAAGGACAAACAGCAAACAAGAGGGACAUCAGCAGAUAGGCAACCUCAACAAGUAUAUCACAAUGAGUGACACACCCCCUAUAACAGCCAAUUUUGAUGGUCCUCCCAUAGCUCUUGCCUUAUUCUUUGUAAUAGGAUUCAGAUUGUUUAAAAUCCCCAUAUUCUACCGCAAAGUCAUGUUAUCAGGAAAGACCAACCCUAACCCCAGUUCCAUGGAGUAAAGAUUAAUUAAUCUAAACUCUAUUAAUUGUAUUCCCUUUAUCUGGUGAUAAGUUUAAGAGCUGAUCCCUUAAUUUUGGACAUGGGAGCACAAGAGAAACUCACUCAAGACUGGGAUUAAUUGUAGGAAAUAUUUCACAGUUUCCACAAGUCAGAAGAGCUAAUCCCAACCCUCUGUAUCUGGAACAUACACUGCUGCCAUUUUCUGCCCAUGAAGGGAAAUACCCAAGGUACUCUGGCAGAACAGAUUUUUGAAAACUUGAGUCCCUGAUGAUGUAAGUCAGCCACAAUGUUAAUCAACCCCAGAGCCACCUUAUUUCUAGACUUAUUAUGCAAGAUAAAAAAAAUCAACUUGCAGUAUGAACCACUUUUAGUUGGGUUUUAUUUCGGCAAACAUAUGCCAAGGCACAGCAUAAAAUUCCACAAGGGACAAAUCAAUGAGCCCAGAACUUCCAAUGAGGGGGACAACUAAGUCAUAUACACAAUAACUAGAAUGUAAAUGGUAUUGAACUUCAAGCACAACAUUGGAUGCUAGAAAAAAAGAAUGCCUUCAAAGUUUUAAAAGAAAACACUUUUCUACCUUGAAUUCUGCAAUCAACCAUACCAUUGAUCAAGAACAAAAGUAGAUAGAAUUAUCCUUAGACAUGCAAGGACGAAAAUUUACCUUCCAUAUGCCUUCUAGGAGCUAAUAGUUGAUGGGUUUCAGGAAAAGAAAGGAAUAUAAAUGAAAAUAAGGGAAGAGAAGGGACCUAGGAACCAGUGAGUCCAGUCAGCAGGGUGGAAGAGCUGACAGCUACACUGUGCAGUCCACACAAGAGUAGAAGGGGAAGACAUCCAGGGAAAAAUUACAUAGACUUAACAGAGUAGAAAUAUGGCAGAUCUAGUGGCAAAGUGAUCAUCAGAAAGAAAUCAAAUAUGCUGUACUGUAUAACGAAUUACCCUGAGACUUUCAGACUUAAAAUAAGCAUUUAUUAUCUUCUAUUUUCUGAGCAUGAGGCAUCUGGGAGCAGCUUAGCUGGGUAGUUUCAGCUCAGGAUCUCUUCUGAGGUUGUCAAGAUGUCAGCUGGGGCUCCAGUCAGCUGAGAGCAUGACCAGAACCGUAGAAUCAGCCUCCACCAUGGCUGACUCAUGUUGCAGUUGGCAGAAGGCCUCAGUUCCUUGCUGGCUGUGGGCAACAGGCCUCAGCUGCCUGCCACAUGGACCUGUUCAGAGGGCUGCUCAAGUGGCCUAACAUGGCAGCUGGUUUUCCCCAAAGCAAUCCAUGAGAAAGUUCGUGGGGGGGGGCUGUAAUGCCUUUUAUGACCUAGUCUCAGAAGUCACAUGUCAUUAUUUCUGCCAUGUUCUAUUUGUUAGAAGCAAUUCACUAAGUACAGCCCACUUAUAAGGCAAGGGAAAUAGGGCUCUGCAUUUUAUAAGAAUAUUGAAUUUUUGACAUGUUUUUAAACUAUUACACAUAUGCAUAUAAAAGUAGCAUGUAAGUUAAUAAGUGUGGCAAAGAGAUAACUUCAAGGGAAACAAAAUCUAAAGAAAAAAUGUAAUCCUAAUGCACCACGCAGAUUUGCUAUUAACAAUAUCGACAUAGUUUUGGUGUUAUAAAGUGAUUAUUGAUGUAAUUAAAAGCAACUAUAGGCCAAGCCCAGUGGCUCAUGCCUGGAAUCCCAGCACUUUGGGAGGUGGGCGGAUCACCUGAGGUCAGGAGUUUGAGACUAGCCAAGAUGGUGAAACCCUGUCUCUACUAAAAAUACAAAAAUUAGCUGGGCAUGGUGGUGGGUGCCUGUAAUCUCAGCCACUUGGGAGGCUGAGGCAGGAGAAUUGCUUGAUCCCGGAAGGAGGCAGCUGCAGUGAGCUGAGAUCAUGCCACUGUACUCCAGCCUGAAUGACAGACUUAAACAAAAAACUAUGCAGCUAUAUAAAGAGGGAUGAGGAAAGAUAAGAGCAUAAGGGAGCCAACUUUUCAUUAACUCUGAGGAAGCCAAUUGAUAUUACCUGUAAUUGAUAAAUCAAAAAACUAUGAUCAAGACAGUCUUGCACUGGCAAAAUAGGUCAAUGACCAUAUUUGUUCAUUGAAAAAAUAGAAAACCCAGACAGACCUCACCCAAAUAUAAUCAACUGAUCUUUGACAAAGGGGAAAGGAUAGUCUUUUCAGUAAAUGGUGCUGAAACAACUGGACAUCCACAUGCAAAAGAAUCUAGUCACAGACUAUAUCCUUCACAAAAAUUAAUUUAAAAUGGAUCAUAGAUGCAAAUGUUAAACCUAAAACUAAGACUCCUAGCAGGUCACAUAGGAAAGCAUCUAGAUGACCCCUGGGUUUGGGAAUGACUUUUUAGACAACACCAAAGAAAUGAUUAAAGAAUUGAUAAAUUGGACUUUAUUAAAAUUAAAAACUUCUGCUCUGUGAAAGGCACUGUCAUGAAAAUAAGAAAAGCCACAGAUUGGAGAAAAUAUUUGCAAGAGAUAAAUCUGAUAAAGGACUGUUAUUCAAAAUAUAUAAAAAGUCUUAAAACUCAAUAAGGAAACAACUUAAUUAAAAAUGGGCAAAAGAUCUGAACAGAUACCUCACAAAAGACAUACAGCUGGCAAAUAAGCAUAUGAAAAGAUGCUCCACAUCAUAUAUCAUUAGAGAAUUGCGAAUUAAAACGAGAUACUGCUACACACUUAUUAGAAUGGCCAAAUCUAGAAUACCGUCAACACCAAAUGUUGGCAAGGAUGUGGAGCAUCAGGAACUCCCAUUCAUUGCUGUGUGAAUGCCAAAUAGUAGUUUGGAAGACAGUUUGGCAGUUUCUUACAAAGCAACUACUUUUGCAAUAUACUCCAGAAUUUGUACUCCUUGGUAUUUACUCAAAUGAGUUAAAAACAUGUCCACACAAAACCCUGCACAUACCCUUCACUGCUUCCAUGUUGUAGCAACCAAUGAAUAAAAUUGCUAGAAACAAUGUCCUUCAAUAGGUGAAUGGAUAAACCAUCGUGCAUCAAGACAGUGGAAUAUUAUCCAGUACUAAAAAACGCAAUAUGGAAGCCAUGAAGACAUGGAAGAAACUUAAAUGCAUAUUGCUAAGUAAACAAAGCCAAUCUGAAAAGGCUACACAUGCUGUAUGAGUCCAACUAUGUGACAUGCUGGAAAAGACAACUAUGGAGACAGGAAGAUGAUCAGUGGUUGCCAGGAGUUAGAGGGGAGGGAAGGAUGACUAGGUGGAGAACAGAGGAUUUUUAGGGCAAUGAAACUGUAUAUUACAGUGAUGGAUUCAUGGCAUAAUACAUUUGUCUAAACCCAUAGAAUGUACAACACCAAGAGUAAACGCUAAUACAAACUGUGAACUUUGGGUGAAAAUGAUGUGUUAAUGUCAGUUCAUCAGCUGUUACAAAUGGACCACGCCGGUACAGGAUGUUGAUGGAAGCAACCGUUUAGGGGUGGGGGCAGGCAUAUGGGAACUCUGUACUUUCUGUUCAGUUAUGCUGUGAGCCUAAAACUGCUCUAAAAACAAAGCCUAAUAAGAAA
rnacentral:lncRNA from 10 species